CAGUCAGUCAGUCAGUCCGUUAGUUUCAGCCCAGUCAGUCAGUCAGUCAGUUUCUGCCUAGUCAGUCAGUCAGUCCGUUAGUUUCAGCCCAGUCAGUCAGUCAGUCAGUCAGUUUCAGCCCAGUCAGUCAGUCAGUCAGUUUCUGCCCAGUCAGUCAGUCAGUCCGUUAGUUUCUGCCCAGUCAGUCAGUCAGUCCGUUAGUUUCAGCCCAGUCAGUCAGUCAGCCAGUUUCAGCCCAGUCAGUCAGUCAGUUUCAGCCCAGUCAGUCAGUCAGUCAGUCAUUUUCAGCCCAGUCAGUCAGUCAGUUUCAGCCCAGUCAGUCAGUCAGUUUCAGCCCAGUCAGUCAGUCAGUUUCAGCCAAGUCAGUCAGUCAGUCAGUUUCAGCCCAGUCAGUCAGUCAGUUUCAGCCCAGUCAGUCAGUCAGUCAGUUUCAGCCCAGUAAGUCAGUCAGCCAGUUUCUGCCUAGUCAGUCAGUCAGUCCGUUAGUUUCAGCCCAGUCAGUCAGUCAGUCAGUCAGUUUCAGCCCAGUCAGUCAGUCAGUCAGUUUCUGCCCAGUCAGUCAGUCAGUCCGUUUGUUUCUGCCCAGUCAGUCAGUCAGUCCGUUAGUUUCAGCCCAGUCAGUCAGUCAGCCAGUUUCAGCCCAGUCAGUCAGUCAGUUUUCAGCCCAGUCAGUCAGUCAGUCAGUUUCAGCCCAGUCAGUCAGUCAGUUUCAGCCCAGUCAGUCAGUCAGUUUCAGCCCAGUCAGUCAGUCAGUUUCAGCCCAGUCAGUCAGUCAGUCAGUUUCAGCCCAGUCAGUCAGUCAGUUUCAGCCAGUUUCAGCCUAGUCAGUCAGUCAGUCAGUUUCAGCCCACCCAGUCAGUCAGUCAGUCAGUUUCAGCCCAGUCAGUCAGUCAGUUUCAGCCCAGUCAGUCAGUCAGUCAGUCAGUCAGUUUCAGCCCAGUCAGUCAGUCAGUUUCAGCCCAGUCAGUCAGUCAGUUUCAGCCCAGUCAGUCAGUCAGUCAGUUUCAGCCCAGUCAGUCAGUCAGCCAGUUUCUGCCUAGUCAGUCAGUCAGUCAGUUUCAGCC
ensembl:lncRNA